rnacentral:rRNA from 1 species
UACGUAGGGUGCAAGCGUUGUCCGGAAUUAUUGGGCGUAAAGAGCUCGUAGGCGGUCUGUUGCGUCGGCUGUGAAAACCCGAGGCUCAACCUCGGGCCUGCAGCCGAUACGGGCAGACUAGAGUUCGGCAGGGGAGACUGGAAUUCCUGGUGUAGCGGUGAAAUGCGCAGAUAUCAGGAGGAACACCGGCGGCGAAGGCGGGUCUCUGGGCCGUAACUGACACUGAGGAGCGAAAGCGUGGGGAGCGAACAGG